CACUCUAGAGAGACUGCCAGGGAUAACCUGGAGGAAGGUGGGGAUGACGUCAAAUCAUCAUGCCCCUUAUGCUUAGGGCUACACACGUGCUACAAUGGGUAGUACAGAGGGUUGCCAAGCCGUAAGGUGGAGCUAAUCCCUUAAAGCUACUCUCAGUUCGGAUUGUAGGCUGAAACUCGCCUACAUGAAGCUGGAGUUACUAGUAAUCGCAGAUCAGAAUGCUGCGGUGAAUGCGUUCCCGGGUCUUGUACACACCGCCCGUCACACCACGGGAGUUGGAGACGCCCGAAGCCGAUUAUCUAACCUUUUGGAAGAAGUCGUCGAAGGUGGAAUCAAUAACUGGGGUGAAGGCGUAACAAGGUAGCCGUAUCGGAAGGUGCGGCUGGAUCACCUCCUUUCUAAGGAGA
rnacentral:rRNA from 1 species